rnacentral:rRNA from 1 species
UAACACCAGCGCCACGAGUGGUAACCGCGAUUAUUGGGCCUAAAGCGUCCGUAGCCGGGUUGAUAAAUCCUUUGUGAAAUUGUGCGGCUCAACCGAACAACGUGCAAGGGACACUGUUAACCUCGAGACCGGGAGGAGUCAGAAGUAUUCCUGAGGGAGCGGUAAAAUGUUAUAAUCUCAGGAGGACUACCUGUGGCGAAGGCGUCUGACCAGAACGGAUCUGACGGUGAGGGACGAAAGCUAGGGGAGCGAACCGGAUUAGAUACCCGAGUAGUCCUAGCCGUAAACGCUGUGAGCUAGGUGUUGCACCAGCGACCUGCUGGUGCAGUGUCGAAAGGAAGCUGUUAAGCUCACCGCCUGGGAAGUACGGUCGCAAGACUG